CUUGAACUAAAUGAGCGGCUAAUUAAAGAAGAUCAAGUUGAGUACCAUGAAGGGCUAAAGUCAAAUUUCAGAGACAUGGUAAAAGAAUUAUCUGACAUUAUCCAUGAGCAGAUAUUACAAGAAGACACAAUGCAUUCUCCCUGGAUGAGCAACACAUUACAUGUAUUUUGUGCAAUUAGUGGUACAUCAAGUGACCGAGGUUAUGGUUCCCCAAGAUACGCUGAAGUGUGAGGAAAUGCAGAUGUACGUGACAAUGAGACUGACCUUUCUCAGGAAUAUUUGGAGCUGUGCAAAUGUUAAAAUUUAAAGAUUUGAUAUACAUGGAGUGUUUCUUCUCGACACCAAAAUUUUCAUGUGUUCCAACAGGGUGCUUACAUAUUUGUAAAUAAGCAACUUGAAAGUGCCUGGAAAAUUGCACCACUGUGCUUGGUUUGUACUUUUUUAGGUAAAUCUAUAUGCUGAAAAGUAGAGCUCAAAAACAGUAGUUCAAUUUGCUUAAUUAUUGCUUAAAAUAAUGGUACUAUGUAAAAUUGUAUAAUGGAAUACAAUAAAAGGUAAAACUUA
rnacentral:lncRNA from 10 species